rnacentral:rRNA from 1 species
GUCCACGCCGUAAACGUUGGGAACUAGGUGUGGGUCUCAUUCCACGAGAUCCGUGCCGCAGCUAACGCAUUAAGUUCCCCGCCUGGGGAGUACGGCCGCAAGGCUAAAACUCAAAGGAAUUGACGGGGCCCGCACAAGCGGCGGAGCAUGUGGAUUAAUUCGAUGCAACGCGAAGAACCUUACCAAGGCUUGACAUACACCGGAAACAUCCAGAGAUGGGUGCCCCGCAAGGUCGGUGUACAGGUGGUGCAUGGUUGUCGU